CCCUUAGAUGUUCUGGGCCGCACGCGCGCUACACUGAUGCAUUCAACGAGUCUAAAACCUGCUCUGAUAGGGUGGGUAAUCUUUUGAAUGUGCAUCGUGAUUGGGAUAGAUGAUUGCAAUUUUUCAUCUUCAACGAGGAAUGCCUAGUAAACGCAAGUCAUCAGCUUGCAUUGAUUACGUCCCUGCCCUUUGUACACACCGCCCGUCGCUCCUACCGAUUGAGUGGUCCGGUGAGGCUUUGGGAUCUGAGCGGAAGGAGCGUUUCGCUGUUUCUGCUCGGAAAACUCAGUCGAACCUUAUCAUUUAGAGGAAGGAGAAGUCGUAACA
rnacentral:rRNA from 1 species